rnacentral:misc_RNA from 1 species
CCAAUCAUUUUUAAUUUUGAUCAUACGAGAAUAAGAUAUCGAAGUUCGAUUCCUUGUUGCCAGUGCGUUCGUUUAUUUGUUCGUUCGCUUACUCUAUCGGUAAAAAAGAUUAAGAUCUCUGUCCUUCGCGAGAUGAGACAGAAAAAGGAAGAGCUAAAGUGGGGAAGAGAAGACGAAAAGAGAGAUCGAGUUAGAGAAGAAGUAUAUACGAGCAUCACUUCAUCGUGAUCACUCGCGUCGCGAGGUCGGCUGAGUGUGCACGUAUUCGUAUUUCUCGUUAUUAUUUCAUCCUUAUUACGGCUUCUUUGGCCGACAGCUCGUGGGUGUGUACAUCGGUGUCUCUCUCUUUAUCCACGAAUUUCAUUAACUAGACGAACAGAAAGAAGUAGAAAAGAGAAGGAUAGAAUAAAAGAGAAGAGAAACUCACAGAGUUCUUCAAAAAUUUUCUGCGAUCAUGGCCGGAUAUGCUUGGGUAACAUUGGCCACAAACGAUGCCUAUUCUUUGGGAGCAUUGGUAUUGGCGCAUUCUUUGCGCCGAGUUGAUACCAAAUACGAGCUAGCAGUUUUAGUCACUCCAGGAGUUACGAGUAUGAUGAGAGAAAAAUUGGCAGCCGUAUUCAAUUUGGUACAGGAAGUAAACGUUCUCGAUUCGAAAGAUGAAGCUAAUCUGGCACUUUUGGCAAGGCCAGAGUUGGGUAUCACAUUUACGAAAUUACAUUGUUGGAGGCUAACUCAAUAUGAAAAAUGCGUGUUUGUAGACGCUGAUACGCUUGUCGUAAGAAACUGUGACGAGUUAUUCGAACGUGAAGAAUUAUCAGCUGCUCACGACAUUGGCUGGCCAGAUUGUUUUAAUUCCGGUGUAUUCGUGUUUAGACCGUCUCAACAAACGUUCGCUUCUAUUACUGCCUUUGCAGCAGCUAAGGGUUCUUUUGAUGGGGGCGAUCAAGGCUUAUUAAAUAUGUACUUUCAUGAUUGGGCACGAAAGGACAUAUCGAAACAUUUACCAUUCAUCUACAAUAUGUGCUCUACGGCAGCCUAUUCUUAUCUUCCCGCUUUUAAACAAUUUGGCGAGGAUGUUAGAAUAAUACACUUCAUCGGAAUCACAAAACCAUGGUUACAGUAUUUUGAUACUUUGACUGGUAUCGUACAGCCACCAUCAGGUAUGAACCAUUUGCAACCAUUGCUGCAAUUGUGGUGGAAUAUCUUUUGCGACAAAGUGCAUCCGCAGUUAUCACCUGUUAUGGCAACCAGCACAUUGGCACCAAUUUGGCACGAUAUUACUCCUUUAUCUUUCGUAUCCUUUAUUCCAUCAAACAAUCCUAUUUACAAUGACACGAACUAUAAAUCAUCGUACAGUGACGUUUGCUCAAAAACACCAGACUUCUCAGAAUUUCAAGAUCCUUGGGAAAAUUAUUCUUGGAAAAAAACUGAAACUGUCUUCAUGGAUAAGAAUAAAGAAAGCACUGAAAAUGUUCAAUACUUUUACGAUAAUAAUCAAAUAUCUGAAUUUCCGUUAAGUGGAAAUCAUCAUCAUUGCGUGUACGAAGAAACCGUGGAUCAUAGUUACCACAAGCCACCUUCUCAAGAUUCUAAUCAAUUUCAUCCUGUUAAUUACGAUGAAUGUUCGACUAAUCUACAUUCCGUAGAGUAUAACAGAAAUGAUGGGAAUGUAUUAUCAAUCAGCGAGCAUAAGAAACAUGAUGAUUUAACUCAUUUAUAUUCGAAAGAUAAUUAUGAACAAAAUUAUUCUAGAGAAUCAGAACAACAUCAUUGGAAAAGUGAUGAUCAAUAUCAACAUACGUCACGCAUACACACUGAUGUGCACCAACAUGUUCAAGAACGGCACGAGCAAGAACAACAUCAGCAUCAUUUGGAAUUUCGAUAUGAAACUAAUGAAAAUGAUCAGAAAUUCACAUCUGACAAUAGUCAUGUUGAUUUUCAUAUUAAACAUGAAAUUCAUAAUCAACACGCAUAUCAUAUUAAUCAACAACAAGAAUCUAAUACCUCACAUCAUCAACAGCAACAACAACAUUAUCACGAACAAAAAGAAUCAAAUCAGGAAGAACAAAAAGAAAGACAUUAUCAACAUAACAUACACCAGACGACAGACUUUAUUCAACCUAGUCACGACAGUACGCAUAACAGUGGACAUAAGACUACUGAGACAAUAGUUAACGAGCAAAAUAAUUAUUCUAGUAAUAUCAUAGAUAAACAGACAGACGAACAGAAAUUGAUAUCCCAUCCUUCCUCUGAACCCUGUACAGAUCUCCACAAUGUAGCAACGCAAUCUGACCUGAAUUUAACAGGACAUCUAGACAGUUCAAAUGCUGGUCUUGCUGGUGCAUUAGCUCAAAUGACAUUGGGUGAACCAAGAAGUGCAGAACAAAUUGCUUUAGAAGAACACAUGAGGAAACAAAGUUGGGAACAAGGUCAAAUUGAUUAUAUGGGUCGCGACAGUUUUGAUAAUAUAUGGAAAAAGAUUUGUGAAACACUUUCUUCAGCUUCAAGGCAACCUUCUCCGCCUAAAACAACCACUCAGGAUGAAGUAAAAACUGAUAAAACAGAAGAAACAAAUAUAACUAAAAAAGAAACCGAUUCUGUGUCUAAGUCUGAAGGCAGCGAUGAUAUUAAAAGUCCAGCAAAAGGAACAGAGGACAGCAACUAACAGACCAUGGCACCAUAGCAUUGCUGCGUCUUGUUUUGUCGUUAUGCUUUACUGGGCUGAAACAACUAGUGAUCUGAGCGUAAAACAAUCUUUGAUUUGUAAUAUUCCUAAGGAUGAUAUUUCACAAAAAGAAUCUAUUGAUACAUUUGAAAUGCUUACAAAAGAUGAAUCUAUUGAUAUUGAUAAACAAAGUUCCUCCGUAUGCGAAGAAGUCGAUUCAAAAGAAUCAAAAGAAAUUUCUGAAGCAGAUGCAGAAUUAUGUUUAACACAAACUACCAAAGAAACAGAUUUACCUUCCCUAUCUUCUGAUCAAACGAUGAUUUUGAAAGAAAAUUUAUUAAUAGAUCCGAUACAAG